rnacentral:rRNA from 1 species
CUACGGGACGCACCAGUGGGGAAUAUUGGACAAUGGGGGAAACCCUGAUCCAGCAAUGCCGCGUGUGUGAAGAAGGCCUGCGGGUUGUAAAGCACUUUCGGUUGGGAGGACUGCUUCUAGCACUAAUAUUGUUGGAAGUUGACGUUACCUUCAGAAGAAGCACCGGCUAACUCCGUGCCAGCAGCCGCGGUAAUACGGAGGGUGCAAGCGUUAAUCGGAAUUACUGGGCGUAAAGCGCGCGUAGGCGGCUAGAUCAGUCGGGUAUGAAAGCCCCGGGCUUAACCUGGGAACUGCAUCCGAUACUGUCUAGCUUGAGUACAGGAGAGGAGAGUGGAAUUCCACAUGUAGCGGUGAAAUGCGUAGAUAUGUGGAGGAACACCAAUGGCGAAGGCAGCUCUCUGGCCUGAUACUGACGCUGAGGUGCGAAAGCGUGGGAAGCAAACAGGAUUAGAUACCCGCGUAGUC